AAAGCUCACAACUCAAUAAAUGUCAUGAAUUAACCAACUACAGUUUUAGUUUUCAUUUACAUUUUGCAACAAAAUCCUAAAUAGUUAAGGGGUGACUAUUUUGGAAUAUUUUGCGUUGAGCAAUCCAACAAGGUAUUAUCAAAAGGAAAAAUGAUUUGUAAGCCGAAAGUCGAGCCAAAACCGACUGACAUGUUCGACUUGAAUUGGACAAUGAUAUGAUGGCCCACCACACCACCCAAUUCAAGUUGAACACGUCAGUCGGUCUCUACUUGAAUUUUGGAUUGAAAUCACUGCUUUGUUAAAAAAAAAAA